GCAAGAUGUGAAGGAGAGAGGAGAAAAAAAGUAAAAGAAAACAGUGUAGUGCAAUUAACUGCAACAACUAUCAGUGGAACACCUGGCCUUCCACCGUUUCCCGAAGGAUCCCGACAGCGGGUCUGCUGCGGCCUGCUGACAGUCCAAAAUGGCGGCGGUAGGACGAAACCAUGGGCGAGUCUGUUGCUACGGGUCGUUCUAUUGAGCUUCGCCUCUUGGUAUCCAUGCUCUUUGGAUUAGUCUCGUGCGGAGGACGGCGGAGUGAAAAGGCUCCAGAGUUUAGUUUAGUAAAGACCUUGUGACGUCACAGACAGCUGGAUGUGGACUUCAAAGCUGAAAUAAAACUACAAAGAGCAGUGAGAGUGUUUUGGGAGGAUGGAGACAGUCUGAGCUGCUGACUGACAGACACUGGGACAUGGACCCAGACAGGAUGUCCUCCUGGAGGACACACGGGGACAGUAAGUGACACUGUUUACUCCCUCUGCUCCACAUUUAUCUGACAGCUGCAGUCACUCUGCUGACUGACAGACACUGGGACAUGAACCCAGACAGGAUUCGUUUACUGUUGAUGGAAAUGUUGAUGUGGAGCUGCGGCCUGUUUGUUGUCACUCCCCAAAAAUGCUGUUGAGCCAUAAAGCAGGAAGAGGACAACACACUGCAUUAGGUCACAGGUUAUGAAGAAGGUGGUCUUAAAUGAUACAGACUGUAUUAAUAUUGAAUGAAUCGGUUCAGAUCCUUCGUGAGAAAUGACAACAGCCUUUGGUUUCACAUCUCAAACCACGUGUUCAGGAAGUUAGGAGCAUCAGCCUCCUCCAGAUGUGACUGUUAUUAAAUUAGCUCCUCUUCCAUCAGCAGGGACCACAUUAUUGGAAAAUGAUUUGCAGACAGUUUUAGCCCCAUAACACCUCAGUGUGGACCUGCAGGUCUGUGUCACUGAAAAGUCAAUCUGUAGUUUCUAGAAAAAGGAACAUGAUGUGUGUUGCACUGACUGAACGCUUCAGGAAACAUUCUGCCCUUUGACGACCUUUGGUCUACAUCAAACGUGUCAUCACAGCAAUCCCUCAGUCUGUUAUUGUGAUGUCAUAACAUUUAUUCCAAAGCAAUGUUUGCCCCAGUCUCCCUUCGCUUUGGUGAAUGGUCCUAACAUCACCCUUUUAAAACAACCUCAUUUCACAACCCUGGUUAAAGAAUAAUAUCCACUCUCAUCAAACAGAAAUUCAAUUCUACAGUUCUUGUCUAAACAGUUUCCUGUUGCACCAGAAGUGAAGGAGGGUCACAUUAAUAACCAUCUGCUGAAUGAUCAGGACGUGUUUUUGGUUUCGAUCAUAAGAACUGCUCCUUCUGUGACGAACACUGAAACUACACAGCAUUUAUUUUAUCAAUGUAACUUUGCCUUUUGGGACAAUUUGCAUUAUUGUCUGUUUCCUCAAUUUGUCAACGUCUCUCGUCUCACAAAGGAAAACGUUUUGUUUGGUUUACGUGUGAAAGAUCUGAUACGUAACCUGGAGAUCGACUCAAUCAUCAAGUUUUUUUAUACAUAAAACAGAUUCAUGAAAUUUAAAUCAAAUGUUUUUCACAAAGAAAUGUGUCUUUACUUUUCAUCACUGAA